GAGUUUCACUAACGGGGGACGGGUAUGGGGCGGGUGCUGGGACCUUGCAAUCAGGCAACUAAAUAAAGUUUGUUUCUCCAUGAUGCGUUCUUGUUGAGCCAGGGAAAGGCAUUCAAGGGCCGGGGGAGGCUGGGCACACGGCAAUUCCCACUGCAAUUCCCGAUUUACCCCCGGUGCGAGGGGCGGUUGGCGCGGCCCCUCACGGCCGGGCGCUCGCGCUUCCCGCCGUCUCCAUGGCGCGCGGGGCGCGGCCAAUGGGAGUGCGCGGCGUGCGUCACGUGCCGCGCGCGGAGCGCUGUCAUGGCGUCCGCCGGGCCGGGCGGGAGCGGCGCUGCCGAGGGGAUGGAGCCGGCCGGGGGAGAGGGCGCCGAGCCCGCGGGCACCGGCAGCGAGAGCGGCUCCUGCAGCGAGAGCGGCUCCUGCGCCUCCUCGCUGUCUGCGAGCUCCGAUGACCUUGAGCCUGAGUGGUUGGAUAGUGUGCAGAAAAAUGGAGAAUUAUUUUAUUUAGAAUUAAGUGAAAGUGAAGAAGAAGUUCUGCUUCAGAACAGCUGUCCAGAAAUGCCAGCAGUGAAUCACGUCAGGUUUAGUGAAAAUGAAGCUGAAAUUAUUCAGGAGGGAUCACGAAAGGAAAGAAAGUAUGAACUGAAGAAAUGGACCAAAAUGCUAAAAAAGAAGAGUCUUUUACCAAAGGGUUCUGGUAAGAAAGGCAGUGGAAGCUGCAACGUGCACCCCUCUGGUCCUACUUCCAUAUUGAAACACCGCUCUGCUCAGAAAAUGGGUGUGACUGUUCAGCAAAAGUACAAAGAUGUGUCUGUUUAUGUGAAUCCCAGAAAACUCUACAGUGCUGGGGAAGAAGAGCAGCAGAAGCUGCUGGAGGCCUUAGUAGGGAUUGUCCAUCAGUCUUCAUGGAGCAGCAGAAGAGUGGAAAAACAAGGCAGGAGGGAUAAAGCCACCAGAGGAGUCAGUGAAGAGAAGCUUGUGGUACAUGGCUUGGUGCCAGGUAGUUCUGCAAUGAAAACAGGUCAAAUCCUGAUUGGAGAUGUUCUUGUUGCUGUAAAUGAUGUCGAUGUGAAUUCUGAAAACAUAGAGAGGGUUUUGUCUUGCAUUCCAGGUCCUAUGCAGGUUAAACUGACAUUUGAAACCUCGGUGUUUGAGCCUGAAGGAACUUGUCAGCAAAGGAACAAACAGCCGCAGUCAGGUAUGAACAACCUGGUUCGGCUGCUGUGGGGAGAGGACAGCUCGGAGCAGCAGCAGGACGUGCCUCACAUUGUCAUGUUCCUCUCGCUGAAACUGGACUCGGACACAGCCAAGGACGAGCAAGAAAUUAUUUAUCAGUACCCCAUAUCUGAAGCCUCCCAAAAACUGAAAAGUGUGAGAGGGAUAUUUCUCACGCUGUCUGACAUACUGGAAAGUGUUACUGGUACCGAGAUUAUCAGUUCCUCCCUUUUCUUAUGUGAAAAACUGGUUCAAGUUGUUUACUGGAAAGAAGCUGACAAGUUGCUCGUAAUUGGCCUUCCUGAAGAAAAUGUGCCACUUUCUCAGCUGAGGAACAUGAUUCAAGAUGUUGUCAGGACCUUGACAUUCAUGUACGGUUCUUUGGACAGUGCUUUUUGCCAGGUGGAAAAUGUUUCUCGCCUGGAUCAUUUUUUCAACCUGUUCUUCCAGCGUGCCCUUCAUCCCACGAGGCUGCAGCCCAGCAGCAGCCUCGGUGCUCAGCCCCAGGGUUCCUGCAGUGCCCUGUUCCUGGACAGCCUCCCAGGCCUGCGCUGGCUCACUCUGCCUCAGGAGAUCAAGAUGGAAAUCGACACAGCGCUGAGUGAUCUGGAAGCAGCUGACUUUGCAGAGCUGUCUGAAGAUUAUUAUGACAUGAGAAGAUUAUAUGUGAUCCUGGGCUCUUGCCUCUUUUACAAGGGUUACCUGAUCGGCAAUCACCUGCCGAAGGAGCACCUCGUUGACGUGGGUCUGUACUGCCGGCACUACUGCCUGCUGCCGCUGGCCGCGGGGCGGCGGGCGGCGCAGGCGGUGAUCUGGCGGGAGGUGUUCCCGCAGCGGCCCCGGCCCCGCGGGGAGCCCGCCUGCACGGGGUACGCGGAGCCUGAGGCUCGACACUUCCUCCUCAUAGUCGGCCUGAGACACUUUGUGCUGUGUGUCCUGCUGGAGGCCGGGGGCUGUGCAUCCAGAGCUGUCGGGAAUCCCGGCCCGGACUGUAUCUACGUAGACCAGGUCAAAGCGACCAUUCUCCAGCUGGAAGGAAUCGACGCCAGCAUAGAGGAGAGGCUGGACUCUCCCUCCAUCCCUCCUUUAGCCUGCGCCGACUGGUUCCUCCCUGCAGCACGGGACAGAGCGGAGAGCUCCAGCACCUCGCCGAUGCUGAGCAAGCUGCAGAGCUCCUGCAGGCCUGCCAGCGCUCCGGGGAGCAGGAGGAGCCUCUUUGGGGACGCUUCCCCCGGCACAAGGAAGCAGAGCCCGCCCAGGGGCAGCGGCGAAGGGCCCGCCGAGAGGGAGAGCAGCGCCCCGCAGCCUGCGGGGGAGCGGGGCAGAGAGCACGGGCACAGGGACCUGGGGAGAGGGCAGCUCCAACAGACUCAGGCCACUAGGAAAAAACACACCCUGCCCAACCCAUUUCAUUCAGGAAACCUUAAAAAGAACCCUUCAGAGAAAGAUACAGAACUUCCUAAUGCUCUCAAGUUGACAUCUGGUCCUGAGAAUACCCUCUUCCACUAUCUGUCUUUGGAGACAAUGCAAGGAAUCUUUAUUACUCCAACUCACAAAGAAGUGGCACAGCUCGGCGGCUCCAUCCACCCUCAGCUAAUUGAGAAUUUCUACCAGUGCUGCCUUUCAAUUCGCUCCAUUUUCCAGCAGUCCAUGAGGAAAGAGCUGUUUUACAGAAAAAGAAGAAGGCAGGCAGUGGGAUUGCAGAGUUCAGUAAGGCAGCUGAGGAUCCAGGUCUGGUGAGAGAACACGGACUUCUCUUUGAGUGCUCUCCUGAAAACUGGACUGACCAAAAGAAACCAGCACCAACAAUGAACUACUGGGUUGUGGGGAGACUGAUUCUCCAUCCCAAGCCCCAGGAGUGUUACGUGUGUUUCCAUGACUCAGUGACAGAGGCUGCUGUGGAACUGGCCUUUAAGCUGUCCUUUGGCUUGGCUGCAUAGCUGAGCUCCCUGCGCAUCAGGCACCCUGUGUGCUGUGUUACUGCUUUAAAGAGCCCUGACAAAUGAAACUAACUCCCUUGGGUGCCACCCAUGGGGUAGCAUCAAAAUGCUUUAAAAAAUCAAAUACCUGGUGGGAUGAUGCAGUUAAAACUUCAGUGGUGCUUCUAAUGAGCUCGUCAAAUGAAUACUUUAAAAUAUUUCAGAGAAGCAAAGUUCUUAUUUUUAUAUACUGUCAUUUUUUUUUUAUCCUGGUCAUAACUUUGUUGUAUGAAAACACCACAUAAUUUGUGGGUUCACUGCUGUUAAGUGUACAACAUGCAAUAUAAAAUGGUAAGCUGACCCUCAAAGUACUCUAUGAACAUGGAAAUUGGUGAGGGAGGGAAAAAAAAGUUCUUCUAUUAGUUAAAAUUUUGCUCCUCUGAGGGCCUGAAAAAUGCUGAAUGUUUUCAGUAGAACUCUGUUAAUCAAAACAGAGAAAUCUUUCAGACAAUUCCUGGUACUUAGGCUCACAAAACUAAUGGCUUAUCAUUCCUGCUCUCCUGGCACACUCAAGGACUAUAGUGUGGUUGAUGUUUUACUUGACUCUGUGAGUUUUAACUAUAAAUAAUACUUUUAUUUGUUAAAAUGCAAUUUUGAAGACACAAAGAAAGGUGGGGGGUGGGCAGGGUGGUUUUAAGAUGUGCAUGGACUUGGCUUAUUUUAUAUUCACAAUUUCAUAAUAAAAAUGUAUAUUUGUUAAGGAACAGUGAAGCAUUAAUUUUAAUUUUUUUUUUACUUAUUUUCUCUUUUAUUAUUUUACUCUUGUUUUCCAUAAGUGCUUUUCAUAAAAUGCAUAACUCGAAUUGGAUUUUAAACAAAGAGAUCAAGAAUUUUAAGUCUUCAGGAAAGCAAAUUGAAUUUCAUGGGUUCUCAUGACCAAAGCUUUAGGUCUUGCUUUCUCUAGUAAAUGACACAGUUUGGGUAGUCCUAAAACAGUCAGUCAGUGCUUGCAGUGCUCACAGGGUGAUUCCCAGUUUCAGUUCCAAGCAGCAGAAGUCUGAAAUGCAAGCGUGUGAUUGCAGCUGGGCUGAGCGGCGUUCUCCAGGAUUUAUGGUUCCCAGCAGGUGAGCAAGAGCAGUUCAGUCUGAGGCAUACAGAUCACACAGCAGUGUGUGUGUUAGCUGUGCUCCCCCUGUGUAAAUCAAGUGAUGUGAGUUACCCUGUUACACCUCUCAAAAGUCUAAAGUCAGUGAGGUUUGGGUAUUAGAUUUCCUCAUAGAUGGGAGGAGGAAUGUGGAGGAAAGCAAGCAGUCUUUGCUGCAGUGCUUUUAGCUGUUUGGCAUAGUGUCCAGGAGAACCCUUCCCUUAAUUCAGAAGAAUGAUGCAAUUCUAAAGAUGCCACCAAGGUUUUGACAGCUGUAUCAGCUGUCAGGCCAGAAGGCACAGGGAGGCUGCUUCAGGAGAGCAGAGUCUGCACAGCCCGAGGCUGCUCUGCUCUCCUGCACUCUCCAUAGGUGUCCCUAGCACUGGGAAUGGAUGCAGUAAGGAAGUUGAAA